rnacentral:rRNA from 1 species
GAAGGAUCAUUACCGAGUGCGGGUCCUUCGGGGCCCAACCUCCCACCCGUGUCUACCGUACCGUGUUGCUUCGGCGGGCCCGCCGCGAGGCCGCCGGGGGGGCGUCCCCCCGGCCCGUGCCCGCCGGAGACCCUGUGAACGCUGAUCUGUGAAGGCGUGUCGUCUGAGUCGCGUGAGAAAUCGUGAAAACUUUCAACAACGGAUCUCUUGGUUCCGGCAUCGAUGAAGAACGCAGCGAAAUGCGAUAAGUAAUGUGAAUUGCAGAAUUCCGUGAAUCAUCGAAUCUUUGAACGCACAUUGCGCCCUCUGGUAUUCCGGGGGGCAUGCCUGUCCGAGCGUCAUUGCUGCCCUCAAGCACGGCUUGUGUGUUGGGCCGCCGUCCCCGCCCUCCGCGGGGGGACGGGCCCGAAAGGCAGCGGCGGCGCCGCGUCCGGUCCUCGAGCGUAUGGGGCUCUGUCACCCGCUCUGCAGGCCCGGCCGGCGCCCGCCGAGUCAACCACUUCUUUCCAGGUUGACCUCGGAUCAGGUAGGGAUACCCGCUGAACUUAA